UGUAUGUAAUAUUGUAAUAGAGAUAUGUAUUAUAGUAAUAUAGAGCUAUGUAAUAUGUUGAUAUAGGUAAUAUUGUAAUAUAGAGAUUAGUAAUAUAUAUUUUUUUUGUUUCUUUUCAGGGGAGAAAACAUUGAAGCUCUAUUAAUAGUCGACUCUUUCACGGUCGCUAAUUGUUAAUCCGAUAUUUGACUCCAGGUCCCCGCAGCGCCGAUGGAAGCCGAGAGGGCAGAUUAGGCCAAUGUCCUCACAAGGUGGCCUCUCUCCCCCGCUAAAUAGGAACCUUGUUUAAUAAUCUUUCAGUGGAGGCCGAGAUAUUUGGAAUAAAAAUGCCUUUGGAUGGGUUUAUGAAAACUGGAAUCUUAUGAACUACAGGUGGAGGAGCAGUGGCCAGUUGGUUCCAGGGUGAUCUGUAGUUUUUAUUGGUGUCAUUUUGGGGUAGAUGUGACUUUUUGAUCACUUUUUAAAUUCACGUUUUCCUGGGAGGCAAAUGACCAAACAAAAACAAGAAAAGAAAAAACGAAAAAAAAAAAAACAACAACUAGCUCAAGUUUUUAUUUUAUUUUUUUGUGGUAUUCAUCAUGCACCAUAUAAUGCUAUAUUUUUAUAGUCCAGGCAUUAUUUAUGUAAAGAAUAUUUUGGGGUAGAUGUGACUUUUUGAUCACCUUUUAAAUUCACGUUUUCCUGGGAGGUAAAUGACGAAGCAGAAACAAGAAGAAAAAAAAAACAAAAAGAAAAAAAAAACAACUAGCUCAAGUAUUUUUUUUUUUUUGUGGUGUUUAUUAUGCUAUAUUUUGUUAGUCCAGGCAUUUUUUAUGUAAAGAAUAUGAAAAAGAGGAAUCUGUUAUAUUUAAUUUUUUUUUACAUUUUUCAACAUAUUUCCCCUUUAAUUUAAUUAUUUAUUAAUUUUUUUAAAUGAUCAUUUAGCGCUUAAUGUUUAGGAGCGGCAGGCACUGUGUGAUCCCUUCUACUGUACACUGCAAUACUAAUGUAUGUAUACUAAUUAAUACUUCGCUAUUGCUAAGAACUAUCAUUUUGCUGUCACAGAAGGACAAUCCUGGCAGCCACAAAGGCAGCAUAAGAUCAAAGCGCCAUGAUAUGCAGAUUGUCAGAUGGGACCCGUAUUAAAGGGGUACUCCACUGGCCAGCGUUUGGAACAUUUAGUUGCAGGGGUAGCGUUGUGUGUGCGUUAUGGGGGUGAGCCACGCCCCCUCGCGACAUCAGGCCACGCCCCUCAAUGCAAGUCUCAACGCUGUGUGCGCUUUUUGGGGGCAUGGCCUGACAGCACAAGGGGCGUGGCCGACCCCGCAACACACACACAGAGUUGAGACUUGCAUUGAGGGGCGUGGCCUGAUGUCACAAGGGGGCAUGGCCGAGAACCACAACGCACACACAACGCGACCCCCCGCAACUAAAUGUCCCCAAUGCUGGCCAGUGGAGUACCCCUUUAAGGAUAGAACAACCAGGAUGCUGCAGCUGCUAUUAAAGGGGUAUUCCAG